AAAGGAGAAUUAAGAGUUGAUUAUGAUGCCCCAGGACAUUCUUGCACAACAAUGGCUUACAGUGCUGAUGGGACAAGGUUGUUCUCAUGUGGGACUAGCAAGGAAGGAGAAUCAUACAUUGUAGAAUGGAAUGAAAGUGAAGGAGCUGUCAAGCGGACAUAUCAUGGUCUUGGGAAGCGGUCUGUUGGGGUUGUGCAAUUUGAUACAACAAAAAACAGAUUUCUAGCUGCUGGUGACGAGUUUGUAAUCAAAUUUUGGGACAUGGAUAAUGUUAACCUCUUGACAACUACUGAUGCAGAGGGUGGAUUACCGAUAUGAUUGAAGAAUUAAUCAACAGGGGACAGCAGGUUGAUGCGGUCCACUUUACUUUCGAAGUUGGUCUUGAGGGCAAGUUCCCCCCUGUUCCACUGCUGAAUGUCCUUACAAUGCUCGAUCUUGUUCCUCACCAAAGGGUCCUGAUCUUGUUCUCUUUGAUUAAAGGGGUUACAUGCUCUAAAACGCUGGUAAUUCUUUUUAUUUCGCAGCAUCUUGCUGCACGCAAGGAGCAGUCUGCACUCCGGGCUGUCAUCAAGUGCGUUGAAGAGUACAAACUUGAGGCCGAAUUCCCUUCAAAAAAUCUCAGGAAGCGCCUUGACCAAUUAGAGAAAUCCAAGACUGAGAAGAAAAAGCCAGCUGCUGUCCCUGCCAACAAAAGAACACGAGUGAACAGUGGUGGCCCAAUGCCACCAGCAAAGGCUGGCCGCUCUACAAAUGCUUACGUGUCAUCUUUCCCUGCGGCCCCCGCAUAUGUCAGGUCCCCGUCACAUGCUCAAUACCCUGUUGGCGUUCCAUCGUAUCCUGCUGGUCCUGCCAUGUAUGGCAGCAGAAGCCCUCUAACCAACCCUUAUGCAUACUCACCUGAAGCAGGCCCUCCUCUUGCUGGGUCUUAUCAAGUAGCUCCAGUGAACUACUCUCCUUAUGGAGGCUAUGGAAACGUUGCACCAACUUAUCAGCAAGCCUACUACCGAUAGACUUGACUUUGGAGAUGGUGAAACACUGAUAUGAUGACCCUGAUCUCGAAUGUUCUCUAAAUGGAGAAAUGUCA